UGCUCAGUAGUCAGUGUAGGAUCUGU
rnacentral:miRNA from 1 species